UGGCUCAGUGGAUAGAGCAUUGGCCUGCCAACUCAAGGAUCCCAGAUUCGAUUCUGG
rnacentral:tRNA from 1 species